rnacentral:rRNA from 1 species
UACGGAGGAUCCAAGCGUUAUCCGGAUUUAUUGGGUUUAAAGGGUGCGUAGGCGGAUUGAUAAGUUAGAGGUGAAAUGUCCGAGCUCAACUCGGGAACUGCCUCUAAUACUGCUGAUCUAGAGAGUAGAUGCGGUAGGCGGAAUGUAUGGUGUAGCGGUGAAAUGCUUAGAGAUCAUACAGAACACCGAUUGCGAAGGCAGCUUACCAAUCUAUAUCUGACGUUGAGGCACGAAAGCGUGGGGAGCAAACAGG